CGGAGGAUCCGAGCGUUAUCCGGAUUUAUUGGGUUUAAAGGGUGCGUAGGUGGGCCUGUAAGUCAGUGGUGAAAGUUUGCAGCUUAACUGUAAAAUUGCCGUUGAAACUGCCGGUCUUGAGUGCAAAUGAGGUAAGCGGAAUGUGUUGUGUAGCGGUGAAAUGCUUAGAUAUGACACAGAACACCGAUUGCGAAGGCAGCUUACUGGGAUGCCACUGACACUGAGGCACGAAAGCGUGGGUAUCAAACAGGAUUAGAUA
rnacentral:rRNA from 1 species